GCCCGCGUGGCCUAAUGGCUAAGGCGCAAGACUUCUACUUGUGGCGAGUUCCAAGUGAUCUUGAGAUUGCCAGUUCGAUCCUGGCCGUGGGCU
rnacentral:tRNA from 1 species